rnacentral:rRNA from 1 species
CCUACGGGAGGCAGCAGUGGGGAAUAUUGGGCAAUGGAGGAAACUCUGACCCAGCGACGCCGCGUGAGGGAUGAAGGCCUUCGGGUUGUAAACCUCUUCAGCAGGGAAUAAGCGAAAGUGAAGGUACCUGCCGAA